rnacentral:lncRNA from 1 species
AUGUGUGUUGAUUUGAUUUGUGCCAUAGGAUGAAUAAAUCAAUCCUCCAUCAUAAGGAGUCCACAUUAUAUGAACUUGUUUCAUAGGCGCAAACCUACCCUUGAGCUGCUUAUUAUAUGUCUAAAAUUCUUUUGUAUGAUAGACUUGUAAUAACUAAUUGAUCAAAAACCAUGGUCAUUUAUUUAUUUAUUCAUUUAUUUGUUUGUUUUCACUCUUCGCCUUCAUGUGUUCAUGAAAUUACAGUCUCACACUCUAAUGAUGGAUGACAGCAGUCCCUUGAUCUAAUUGAAGAUUUUUUUAAGAAUAUAAUUCAUGUAAUUUUAUGUAUUUUCCAUUCCUAGAGUAGCAUGUACGUCUAUCCUGGACACUUUUUUUUCCCUCUAGGAAUUGCAUCUCUAUUGUUUAUCUUUCUCAAAGUAAGAAUUCAUCUAGUUGGAUUCUCUCUCUCCUCUCUCUCCCUCUCUCUUUUUCCUUGGGAGGGGGUGGUGAAUUCAGGUAUAAAUGUUUGUUUAAAAGUGAACAUAAUUAUAGCAAGUCAAGUUGGACAAAUAUUCAACAUCAAGCCUCACAAAUGGAACUGUUCUCAUGGUUUAAUACAUGGUAAUGGC